GGACUACCCGGGUUUCUAAUCCCGUUCGCUCCCCCAGCUUUCGCGCCUCAGCGUCAAGAGUGACCCAGGAGACCGCCUUCGCCACUGGUGUUCCUACCGAUAUCUACGCAUUUCACCGCUACACCGGUAAUUCCAUCUCCCCCUAUCACCUUCAAGACCGACAGUAUCCACCGACCCUCCGGGGUUGAGCCCCGGGCUUUCACAGCGGACUUGCCGACCCGCCUACGCGCCCUUUACGCCCAGUAACUUCGGACAACGCUCGCCCCCUCCGUAUUACCGCGGCGGCUGGCAC
rnacentral:rRNA from 1 species